UCUUGCCCAGAUUGUAUGUUAC
rnacentral:siRNA from 1 species